UAACCUGGUUCAUACAUAAGCUGCGACCUGGUCCUGAUCCUGUUGCUUUCCACCCAUACUAUUAUGUUUUAUUUUUAGUAUCAGAAUGCCCUCAAUUUCAUAUAACAUCGACAAUCUAAUAAAAGUUACAACCACUAAUUAUGACGUGUAUAUUUCGAUAAAAUUGCAGCUCUCUUAGCCAAGCAGAUUCGAGUAAUUUUUCAUGUAUAUUAUUAGGAAGACAAAUAACAAGGUAAUUUUGCAUAUGAAGUUCCAACUUCUUGCAAAGAUAUUUUCGCACCAUGUGCGUGAAUAAAUUAUGGCAACACCCUUCAUUUGUCAUUAUGAACGUUUGCAUUGACUCUGAUCUCUUUAUAUAGGUGAAUUCGUGGUUAACUUGGUUGGAAACUGCCGCGGAAGAGAGCUCGGAGUCUGAGCCCGAAUAAAAUUAUUAAUUAAGUUGCUACAAUAAUUAAUGUAAUUUUUAAUUCAAUUGUAAUUUCGAAUUUUUCUUCUGCAAUAUUAAAAUAAAAAUUCAAUAAUCAUC